UGGGGAAUAUUGCACAAUGGGCGCAAGCCUGAUGCAGCCAUGCCGCGUGUGUGAAGAAGGCCUUCGGGUUGUAAAGCACUUUCAGCGGGGAGGAAGGCGGUGAGGUUAAUAACCUUGGCGAUUGACGUUACCCGCAGAAGAAGCACCGGCUAACUCCGUGCCAGCAGCCGCGGUAAUACGGAGGGUGCAAGCGUUAAUCGGAAUUACUGGGCGUAAAGCGCACGCAGGCGGUCUGUCAAGUCGGAUGUGAAAUCCCCGGGCUCAACCUGGGAACUGCAUUCGAAACUGGCAGGCUAGAGUCUUGUAGAGGGGGGUAGAAUUCCAGGUGUAGCGGUGAAAUGCGUAGAGAUCUGGAGGAAUACCGGUGGCGAAGGCGGCCCCCUGGACGAAGACUGACGCUCAGGUGCGAAAGCGUGGGGAGCAAACAGG
rnacentral:rRNA from 1 species